UGCUUCCUCAGUUAUCCUGUCAGCAACAUGUACUACUCCCAGCACUAUAGUAACACCAGAAUUAACCCUAUCUUCAUCAAUGGUCAUUCCUAGUGCUUCUUCAUUUAAAUUGAUAUCUGUUAUAAUCCCAUUAGCAGUGACUAUUUCAUUAGUUCUACUGGUGGUAUUUAUAGCAGUGUUAUUCAUCAUCUGUUUUUUUAAGAGGAGAGCAAAGAUGAAGCAAAAGAAGAUAGUGCUGCAUGAAACUUAACUUGGCUCUGGGCCUUUAUUAUUAGCUCCUGAUAGCAGUAAAAACAAUAUUUAUAAUUCCAGCAAACGAAUUGAUAUCUCAUCAAAGUACAUGGAUCAAUUAUCAGAUUAUAUAAUAUCAGGAUCAAUCAUUCAAAUACAAGAAACUGUUGGACAAGGUGAAUUUGGUAUAGUGUAUUGUGGUGUAAUGACAAGUAACCCUCAAUUGCCAAAAGCAGUAGCUGUGAAAACAUUAAAAGGUUAG